UACGAAUGGGGCUAGCGUUGCUCGGAAUCACUGGGCGUAAAGCGCACGUAGGCGGCUUUUUAAGUCAGGGGUGAAAUCCUGGAGCUCAACUCCAGAACUGCCUUUGAUACUGGGAAGCUUGAGUCCGGGAGAGGUGAGUGGAACUCCGAGUGUAGAGGUGAAAUGCGCAGAUAUCAGGAAGAACACCAAUGGCGAAGGCAGCUCUCUGGGACGGUACUGACGCUGAGACGCGAAAGCGUGGGGAGCGAACAGG
rnacentral:rRNA from 1 species